rnacentral:rRNA from 1 species
UAWACGACUCUCGGCAACGGAUAUCUCGGCUCACGCAUCGAUGAAGAACGUAGCAAAAUGCGAUACUUGGUGUGAAUUGCAGAAUCCCGUGAACCAUCGAGUUUUUGAACGCAAGUUGCGCCCGAAGCCAUUCGGCCGAGGGCACGUCUGCCUGGGCGUCAC